UAUUAAUUCAAAGAAGACAUAAGAGGAAAUUAGUGUGAGUGCAAUGUUGUACUGUAUGGUGCAGCAACACAAACCAUAUGCCAACCCAACGCCAAAUGGGUGUCUCAGAAAGGAGAGGGGACCAUCAACUGAGCUCCAACAGGGUUUUUAAAGCAGCGCUGGCACACAGGGCCCAUUUGCUGCUCCUGCAGUGCUGCUGGUUGAGCUCAGGUGCUGCCACUUCACUGACGACCCUCUGUCACGCCCAUCUCCAAGACAGCAGCCACACAAGCCCAGCAACAGGCAGACAGGGAAGAGGAGGUCGGCACAAUGGACUGAUACCAACAUGACGUUUUACCUUACUGAGAAAAGAUGAUUUCAUGUUGUCUUGUUUAAUGUAAUGUGCAGGAAACAGAAAUGUGCAUCAAACUUUUCCUUCAGGUAGAAUAGUGGACCAGUUGACUGUUGUUAAUGAGCUCAGUGGGGACCGGAGAGGGAUUACCUUCACACAUGAAAUCACACACCUGAGGGCUGCGUGGCUGAUUAUGUUGCACACAAAACAAAAGAAAAGAUUAGAAGAUGAUCCACCUUUUGGUUUGGUGUUAUUUUAGGGUUCACAUUAACUGAAUAUUUGAGCUUUAAGGAUGUACAGAAAGCUCUUCAAAGCACUGCAAUGAAAAUAAAGUUAAACUUCAGCGACAAACACUGAAUUUAUUUGAAUAAUCCUGUAGGAAAAUGCCUCAGACUCACUCUACAAACAAAGAAGUACAACUUCUUUUGUCAAUAUGUCAAUAUGUCAUGACAUAUCGGUGUGACAAGAACGAACCAUUAAAGUCAUAUAGUGAUUUUUCCUGCCAGGAAACUUCUGUAUGUUUUGACUUUUAGGGGUUAAACUUUUCAGUCAGUUAAUUUAGCUUUUGGCAUAAAUCCUGAUUUCUUCACUUUAUGAUUUCUGUCAUCACCAGCCAGGAAAAAAACCUGCAGUUCAUCUGUAGAAAUCUGACAUUUUAAACCACAAAAAUGGAGCAUAUUUAAUCCCUGAAGUUGUUUUCUUACCAAGGUUGUGGUCUUCUACAUGAUUUAUUGUGUUAGAGUGAAAAUACUGAACCAAAGUCUGCAGAAAAGGAGGAUUAUUUUAUCUCUUAAAUCACUAAAACAAUAUAUGAGUCAUGGUUGAGGAACUCUGUUGAACCUCUAUUAAAAUGUUAGUCUGGUGUUUCUC